rnacentral:rRNA from 1 species
UACGUAGGGGGCAAGCGUUGUCCGGAAUCAUUGGGCGUAAAGGGUGCGUAGGCGGCGCCGUAAGUCGGAUGUGAAAUCUUCGGGCUCAACCCGGAAACUGCACUCGAUACUGCGGUGCUUGAGGACUGGAGAGGAGAUCGGAAUUCACGGUGUAGCAGUGAAAUGCGUAGAUAUCGUGAGGAAGACCAGUGGCGAAGGCGGAUCUCUGGACAGUUCCUGACACUGAGACACGAAGGCCAGGGGAGCAAACGGG